rnacentral:rRNA from 1 species
CCCUUAGAUGUUCUGGGCCGCACACGCGCUACACUGAAGGAGGCAGCGUGUACUCCUGGAUCGAAAGAUUUGGGUAACCCCCUAAUCUCUUUCGUGCUGGGGAUUGAGGUUUGCAAUUAUCCUUCAUGAACGAGGAAUUCCCAGUAAGUGCGAGUCAUUAUCUCGCGCUGACUACGUCCCUGCCCUUUGUACACACCGCCCGUCGCUACUACCGAUUGAAUGAUUUAGUGAGGACUUCGGACUGAGUCCAAUGCGGCUUUCGGGCUGCGUUGGUAUUUCGGAAAGAUGUCCAAACUGUAUCAUUUAGAGGAAGUAAAANUCGUANCA